rnacentral:rRNA from 1 species
GACGAACGCUGUUUGCGUGCUUAACACAUGCAAGUCGAACGGAAAGGCCCUGCUUUUGUGGGGUGCUCGAGUGGCGAACGGGUGAGUAACACGUGAGUAACCUGCCCUUGACUUUGGGAUAACUUCAGGAAACUGGGGCUAAUACCGGAUAGGAGCUCCUGCUGCAUGGUGGGGGUUGGAAAGUUUCGGCGGUUGGGGAUGGACUCGCGGCUUAUCAGCUUGUUGGUGGGGUAGUGGCUUACCAAGGCUUUGACGGGUAGCCGGCCUGAGAGGGUGACCGGCCACAUUGGGACUGAGAUACGGCCCAGACUCCUACGGGAGGCAGCAGUGGGGAAUAUUGCACAAUGGGCGGAAGCCUGAUGCAGCAACGCCGCGUGCGGGAUGACGGCCUUCGGGUUGUAAACCGCUUUCGCCUGUGACGAAGCGUGAGUGACGGUAAUGGGUAAAGAAGCACCGGCUAACUACGUGCCAGCAGCCGCGGUGAUACGUAGGGUGCGAGCGUUGUCCGGAUUUAUUGGGCGUAAAGGGCUCGUAGGUGGUUGAUCGCGUCGGAAGUGUAAUCUUGGGGCUUAACCCUGAGCGUGCUUUCGAUACGGGUUGACUUGAGGAAGGUAGGGGAGAAUGGAAUUCCUGGUGGAGCGGUGGAAUGCGCAGAUAUCAGGAGGAACACCAGUGGCGAAGGCGGUUCUCUGGGCCUUUCCUGACGCUGAGGAGCGAAAGCGUGGGGAGCGAACAGGCUUAGAUACCCUGGUAGUCCACGCUGUAAACGGUGGGUACUAGGUGUGGGGUCCAUUCCACGGGUUCCGUGCCGUAGCUAACGCUUUAAGUACCCCGCCUGGGGAGUACGGCCGCAAGGCUAAAACUCAAAGGAAUUGACGGGGCCCCGCACAAGCGGCGGAGCAUGCGGAUUAAUUCGAUGCAACGCGUAGAACCUUACCUGGGUUUGACAUGGAUCGGGAGUGCUCAGAGAUGGGUGUGCCUCUUUUGGGGUCGGUUCACAGGUGGUGCAUGGCUGUCGUCAGCUCGUGUCGUGAGAUGUUGGGUUAAGUCCCGCAACGAGCGCAACCCUUGUUCACUGUUGCCAGCACGUUAUGGUGGGGACUCAGUGGAGACCGCCGGGGUCAACUCGGAGGAAGGUGGGGAUGACGUCAAGUCAUCAUGCCCCUUAUGUCCAGGGCUUCACGCAUGCUACAAUGGCUGGUACAGAGAGUGGCGAGCCUGUGAGGGUGAGCGAAUCUCGGAAAGCCGGUCCCAGUUCGGAUUGGGGUCUGCAACUCGACCUCAUGAAGUCGGAGUCGCUAGUAAUCGCAGAUCAGCAACGCUGCGGUGAAUACGUUCCCGGG